AUUGAACGCUGGCGGCAUGCUUUACACAUGCAAGUCGAGCGGCAGCGCGGGGGCAACCCUGGCGGCGAGCGGCGAACGGGUGAGUAAUGCAUCGGAACGUAUCCUGUAGUGGGGAAUAACUCACCGAAAGGUGAGCUAAUACCGCAUAAGCUCUGAGGAGGAAAGCGGGGGACCGAAAGGCCUCGCGCUGCAGGAGCGGCCGAUGUCCGAUUAGCUAGUUGGUGAGGUAAAGGCUCACCAAGGCGACGAUCGGUAGCUGGUCUGAGAGGAUGAUCAGCCACACUGGGACUGAGACACGGCCCAGACUCCUACGGGAGGCAGCAGUGGGGAAUAUUGGACAAUGGAGGAAACUCUGAUCCAGCCAUGCCGCGUGAUAGAUGAAGGCCCUCUGGGUUGCAAAUAUCUUUUAUCUGGGAAGAAACAAUCUUAUUCUUAAGAUCUUGACGGUACCAGAGGAAUAAGCACCGGCUAACUCCGUGCCAG
rnacentral:rRNA from 1 species